rnacentral:rRNA from 1 species
GGGGAAUUUUGGACAAUGGGCGCAAGCCUGAUCCAGCCAUGCCGCGUGCGGGAAGAAGGCCUUCGGGUUGUAAACCGCUUUUGUCAGGGAAGAAACGGUCUGAUCUAAUAAAUUGGGCUAAUGACGGUACCUGAAGAAUAAGCACCGGCUAACUACGUGCCAGCAGCCGCGGUAAUACGUAGGGUGCAAGCGUUAAUCGGAAUUACUGGGCGUAAAGCGUGCGCAGGCGGUUAUGCAAGACAGAUGUGAAAUCCCCGGGCUCAACCUGGGAACUGCAUUUGUGACUGCAUAGCUAGAGUACGGUAGAGGGGGAUGGAAUUCCGCGUGUAGCAGUGAAAUGCGUAGAUAUGCGGAGGAACACCGAUGGCGAAGGCAAUCCCCUGGACCUGUACUGACGCUCAUGCACGAAAGCGUGGGGAGCAAAC